AUUGAACGCUGGCGGAAUGCUUUACACAUGCAAGUCGAACGGCAGCAUAGGUGCUUGCACCUGAUGGCGAGUGGCGAACGGGUGAGUAAUACAUCGGAACGUGCCCAGUCGUGGGGGAUAACGUAGCGAAAGUUACGCUAAUACCGCAUACGAUCUAAGGAUGAAAGCGGGGGACCGUAAGGCCUCGCGCGAUUGGAGCGGCCGAAGUCAGAUUAGGUAGUUGGUGAGGUAAAGGCUCACCAAGCCGACGAUCUGUAGCGGGUCUGAGAGGACGACCAGCCACACUGGGACUGAGACACGGCCCAGACUCCUACGGGAGGCAGCAGUGGGGAAUUUUGGACAAUGGACGCAAGUCUGAUCCAGCCAUUCCGCGUGCAGGGCGAAGGCCUUCGGGUUGUAAACUGCUUUUGUACGGAACGAAAAAGCUCUUACUAAUACUAGGAGUCCAUGACGGUACCGUAAGAAUAAGCACCGGCUAACUACGUGCCAGCAGCCGCCGCGG
rnacentral:rRNA from 1 species